CCAGCAUGCAGAGCGUCUCUCUACGUAUGUCCUGCAGGCACCUAAACUGAGAAAAACUCACAAUUUUCUCAUUUUUAAAUGAAUUAAUUCAAAGAAGAAAGUGUCUACAUGAGCCAGACAAGGGAGGUUGUGCCAAUGAAUAAUUGCCAUUGCCAUUCUUCCAAGGAGAAUCAAUUACUGUAUCAAUGGUAGCUGGCUCAGCUCCAGCAAAGAGAGCGGGUAAAGGAGAGAAAAGAGAAUGAAUUGUCAGCAUUAUUGAAAAGAUUCAUGAUUAGUCACAUUCACUCCAGG
rnacentral:lncRNA from 1 species